AGAGUUUGAUCAUGGCUCAGGAUGAACGCUGGCGGCGUGCCUAAGUACAUGCAAGUCGAGACGAACAGACGAGGAGCUUGCUCCUUUGACGUUAGCGGCGGACGGGUGAGUAACACGUGGUAACUUACCUAUAAGACUGGGAUAACUUCGGGAAACCGGAGCUAAUACCGGAUAAUAUUUCGAACUGCAUGGUUCGAUAGUGAAAGAUGGCUUUGCUAUCACUUAUAGAUGGACCUGCGCCGUAUUAGCUAGUUGGUAAGGUAACGGCUUACCAAGGCAACGAUACGUAGCCGACCUGAGAGGGUGAUCGGCCACACUGGAACUGAGACACGGUCCAGACUCCUACGGGAGGCAGCAGUAGGGAAUCUUCCGCAAUGGGCGAAAGCCUGACGGAGCAACGCCGCGUGAGUGAUGAAGGUCUUCGGAUCGUAAAACUCUGUUAUUAGGGAAGAACAAACGUGUAAGUAACUGUGCACGUCUUGACGGUACCUAAUCAGAAAGCCACGGCUAACUACGUG
rnacentral:rRNA from 1 species